rnacentral:ncRNA from 1 species
GCCGUUCUUUGCUAGCCUGGAGACACCCGACGAGACGCGCCGUACCGGGAUUCCGACAAGACGACGCACC